UAAGGAAUAUUGCUCAAUGGGAGAAAUCCUGAAGCAGCAACGCCGCGUGGAGGAUGAAGGGUCUAUGACUUGUAAACUCAUGUAAAGAAGGAAAAAAUUCCCAUUUGAUGGGAGAUGAUGGUACUUCUGGAGUAAGCCCCGGCUAACUACGUGCCAGCAGCCGCGGUAAUACGUAGGGGGCAAGCGUUGUCCGGAUUUACUGGGUGUAAAGGGUGCUCAGGCGGAUUUGUAAGUCAGAGGUGAAAUCUUACAGCUUAACUGUGAAACUGCCUUUGAUACUGCAAGCCUAGAGUAUGGAAGAGAGUGAUGGAAUAUCUGGUGUAGCAGUGAAAUGCGUAGAUAUCAGAUAGAACACCAAUGGCGAAGGCAGUCACUUGGUCCAUUACUGACGCUAAAGCACGAAAGCGUGGGUAGCAAACA
rnacentral:rRNA from 1 species